rnacentral:rRNA from 1 species
AGCGGCCGCGAAAUUCGCCCUUAGAGUUUGAUCAUGGCUCAGAUUGAACGCUGGCGGCAGGCCUAACACAUGCAAGUCGAGCGGUAACAGGAAUAGCUUGCUAUUCGCUGACGAGCGGCGGACGGGUGAGUAACGCGUAGGAAUCUGCCCGGUAGUGGGGGAUAGCCCGGAGAAAUCCGGAUUAAUACCGCAUACGCCCUAAGGGGGAAAGCAGGGGAUCUUCGGACCUUGCGCUAUCGGAUGAGCCUGCGUCGGAUUAGCUUGUUGGUGGGGUAAUGGCCUACCAAGGCAACGAUCCGUAGCUGGUCUGAGAGGAUGAUCAGCCACACCGGAACUGAGACACGGUCCGGACUCUUACGGGAGGCAGCAGUGGGGAAUAUUGCACAAUGGGCGCAAGCCUGAUGCAGCCAUGCCGCGUGUGUGAAGAAGGCCUUCGGGUUGUAAAGCACUUUCAGCAGGGAGGAAAGGUUGUAAAUUAAUACUUUGCAGCUGUGACGUUACCUGCAGAAGAAGCACCGGCUAACUCCGUGCCAGCAGCCGCGGUAAUACGGAGGGUGCAAGCGUUAAUCGGAAUUACUGGGCGUAAAGCGCGCGUAGGCGGCUUGUUAAGCCAGAUGUG